CUCCAAGGCCGCGACCACGACCACGACCAUGUGCACCACCACCUCCACCACCAUGCUCUCCACCACCGAGAUCACCACCACCACCUCCACCACCACGGUCACCUCCUCCCCGCCCGGCAAUGUCCUGCUCGUCUAGUGACAAACAAAAGGUGCAGAAAUGCUUUAACGAAACAGUUUCAAUUGACGAAUGUUGUCCAACAUUUCAGAACAUACUUGGUAAGAGUUGCCCUUGUUAUCAGUAUGCUGAGGAUUUAGACAAUCAAGUUUUGAUCACUGCCGAAGCUUAUUGUGAUUUCAGUACCCCGUGCAAGGGAGUUCCAGUAAGUUAUCAUUUUUAUUUACCAUUUAAUAUUUUGCAACAAAAUCACGUACUAUCUUAUACAUUUCUCUUUAUGAAAUUCUAAUUAAAAUUAUUUGUUCGAAUUAGUAAAGUAAUUCUUUCAUUUAUGAAUACAGCCUCCUCCCCCGAAAUCACCUCCUCCUCGCCCAACAGCGGCCUGCUCAGCUAGUGACAAACUAAAGGUGCAAAAAUGCUUUAACGAAACAGUUUCAAUUGAUGCAUGUUGUCCAACAUU
rnacentral:lncRNA from 1 species